rnacentral:rRNA from 1 species
GACGUAGGGCGCAAGCGUUGUCCGGAUUUAUUGGGCGUAAAGAGCUCGUAGGCGGUUUGUUGCGUCGGCUGUGAAAUCCCGAGGCUCAACCUCGGGUCUGCAGUCGAUACGAGCAAACUAGAGUGUUGCAGGGGAGACUGGAAUUCCUGGUGUAGCGGUGGAAUGCGCAGAUAUCAGGAGGAACACCGGUGGCGAAGGCGGGUCUCUGGGCCGUAACUGACGCUGAGGAGCGAAAGCGUGGGGAGCGAACAGG